UCGCUCACAGCAGAUACCUCUAUUGUUCUAGCAAGAGAAGGAUCGGCCUCCAACUCUGAUACGCACCUAUCAGUUGUCUAUCGGCUGUGAGAUUCUCGGUGUGUUUCAAGCUUGACAUCUUGUUGGUAUGCAGGUAGCAGCAAGGUUUUAGAAAGAAAGAAAAUUACAUUUGAUAUACAUCAAACAGGUGUAUUUUAUACACUCUUAGGACUAGGACGACAGGGUAGUUGGUAAUUCAUACCCUGGGUCUAUUAGGACUAGGAGAUCAGGGUAGUUGGUUAUUCAUACCCUGGGUCUAUUAGGACUAGGACGACAGGGUAGUUGGUUAUUCAUGCCCUGGGUCUAGUAGGACUAGGAUGACAGGGUAGUUGGUUAUUCAUGCCCUGGGUCUGUUAGGACUAGGAGAUCAGGGUAGUUGGUUAUUCAUACCCUGGGUCUAGUAGGACUAGGAUGACAGGGUAGUUGGUUAUUCAUACCCUGGAUCUAUUAGGACUAGGACGACAAGGUAGUUGGUUAUUCAUACCCUGGGUCUAUUAGGACUAGGAUGACAGGGUAGUUGGUUAUUCAUACCCUGGGUCUAUUAGGACUAGGAUGACAGGGUAGUUGGUUAUUCAUGCCCUGGGUCUGUUAGGACUAGGAGAUCAGGGUAGUUCGUUAUUCAUACCCUGCGUCUGUUAGGACUAGGAUGACAGGGUAGUUGGUUAUUCAUACCCUGGGUCUAUUAGGACUAGGACGACAGGGUAGUUGGUUAUUCAUACCCUGGGUCUAGUAGGACUAGGACGACAGGGUAAUUAGUUAUUCAUACCCUGGGUCUAGUAGGACUAGGAUGACAGGGUAGUUGGUUAUUCAUACCCUGGGUCUAUUAGGACUAGGAUAUCAGGGAGGUUUGAUUUUUAUUUCAGUAGAAACAUGUUAACAUUUCUCUAAAAUCAUUCAUUUUUGGAGGAAAACACAGUAUGACAAAUUCCUCUUCAACAUUAGCAAUACUCAGAGACCGUAUAGCCACUAUCAUUCAUCUUCAACACAGGCCAUACUCAGAGAGACUACUUAGCCACAGUGUCGUGGAAACACUUAUGUGGGUCUUCCAGAUGUCGUUUUGCAUCUCAGGGCCUACUGGGUCCUCUCUUGAUGAGAACAUGUCAUGCUUCCAAAAUGGCACCAUAUACCCUAUAUAUAGUGCACUACUUUUGACCAUAGCCCUAUGGGGUUAGGUGCCCUAUAAAAUGAAUUGGGUGCAAUUUGGGAUGGUGCCUGUGUUUUUGCAAUAUUUAGAUGAGCAAUCAGUCAGAAAUCCCACUGUGUUUAAGCCCAGGAAAGAGAAAGUAGUCUAAAAAUACAACAGUAACAGUAUGUUUGGCAACUCCUCGUACAUUUCAGGUCUAUAUCAAUGAUGUCUCCUUGAAUCUGAG
rnacentral:lncRNA from 1 species